UGGUCGGCUGUGUAUUUUCUUCUCUGGAAUUGCAGACAUAAACAAAUGAACCGGGUUGAUUGCCCCUAGGGUUUUUUUCCUUUCUCAAAUGCCCUUGCAUGGUUUGUGGUUUGUGCGACAAGAACACAUCCAAGUUCUCUCCUUCCCUUUAUUUUUGGUAAAUACAACAUUAUUUCCAAACAAUUCGGUAUAAUUUCCUUAUUUUCUAUUUCAAGAUAUUCUUCGGCUCAACCUUAUCUAUAAAACGUGAUACCAAAACCCAAAUCUCAUUCGGCGCCGCUACUCUCUUCAAGGUCUUAUAAAUGCUUAAACUGAUGUUUUUGCAGGGAAAGUGAACGAUGCUCCUUCUCUCUUUCGAAGGAAGACAACUCGGGUUUUUUUAUCUUGCUUAAAAAUCUUUGUUCAAGAUAAAAAUUUCUUGAGCUUCGCUUAUAGAAUUAUAAUAUAAAAUAUAAAAACAUUUACGAAUUUGUCAAAAAAUGAUACGCCUACCAAAAAUAAUAAAAAUCUUGAUAUUUUUAAGUCUUUGAGGAAUAUUGAUUUCAAGAAUAGUCUUUUUGAAGCUCGAGUCUCUAUAAAAGGCGUUAGUCAAAGUAAACCCAUUAUUAUGGGUUUGUAAUGUUUUAUCUUUGGUUGUCGUUAGUUUUGCAGAGAAAGUGAACGAUGCUCCUUCCCUAUUUCGAAGGAAGACAGCUCAGUUUUGCAGAGAAAGUGAGCGAUGCUCCUUCCCUAUUUCGAAGGAAGACAGCUCAGGUGCGAUUUUGGCAGGAAAAUAAAAAUAAAAUAACUAAAUAACAAUUCUCAGUAGGUGUUUGCACAUAUGAAAGAUUAUCGUAGGUGCAUAAAUUAUUAAAAGUAAUUCAAGAAAGGAUUCCGGUUAUUAAAGAUAAAUCCUAACAUGCCACACACAUGUAUUGGUCUAGGACUCAUUCCAAAUCAUCCCGCCCGCUAAUGAUAACUUGGAAUUAAUUCACAUCAUAUGAGGAUGUGUUUUCCAUGUGGGCCAUUUCUUGGGCCGAAUUUCUAAACACUGAUCAACUCUAUGGAGGAGGUUUUAACCAUCUUUUUUUUUAGCCUGAACCUUGA